AUUGAACGCUGGCGGCAUGCCUUACACAUGCAAGUCGAACGGCAGCACGGGUGCUUGCCCCUGGUGGCGAGUGGCGAACGGGUGAGUAAUACAUCGGAACAUGUCCUGUAGUGGGGGAUAGCCCGGCGAAAGCCGGAUUAAUACCGCAUACGAUCUACGGAUGAAAGCGGGGGCCCUUCGGGCCUCGCGCUAUAGGGUUGGCCGAUGGCGGAUUAGCUAGUUGGUGGGGUAAAGGCCUACCAAGGCGACGAUCAGUAGCUGGUCUGAGAGGACGACCAGCCACACUGGGACUGAGACACGGCCCAGACUCCUACGGGAGGCAGCAGUGGGGAAUUUUGGACAAUGGGCGAAAGCCUGAUCCAGCAAUGCCGCGUGUGUGAAGAAGGCCUUCGGGUUGUAAAGCACUUUUGUCCGGAAAGAAAUCCUUGGCCCUAAUACGGUCGGGGGAUGACGGUACCGGAAGAAUAAGCACCGGCUAACUACGUG
rnacentral:rRNA from 1 species